rnacentral:lncRNA from 1 species
CCUAGCUUUUUCUUAGACGGACAACAGUUUCACAGGCCUAUAAUGUUGCCAUACAUAAGCAGCAACUAUUUCCUUGCCUGACAUUAAAGACAAGAGCUGCUGGAGGAGAGUCUGUCGCAGGUGGUGGCUGCUCUCUGUUCGUGCAUGGUGGAGCUGGUUGGCCAGAUCAGGUUUGGUUGAAUGUGGAGUUGGUUCUGUUAUUGUCGUACAUGGUGGCUAUUACCAUCGAACACGUUGAAGAGGGGAGGAGUUGUUGGCUGUCAGCUGGAGGAUGGGAGUUUUUGUGCUGUUGGUGGUGAGGAGUUGCUCGCCGUGAGUUGAAGGGAAGGGCUUGGAUAGAGACAGAUAAAAGAAAAUGGCGUGGGG